rnacentral:rRNA from 1 species
CAGUCGCCGCGGGAAAACGGAGGGGGCUAGCGUUGUUCGGAAUUACUGGGCGUAAAGCGCACGUAGGCGGCUUGGUAAGUUAGAGGUGAAAGCCCGGAGCUCAACUCCGGAAUUGCCUUUAAGACUGCCGAGCUAGUAGGUGAGAGAGGUAAGUGGAAUUCCGAGUGUAGAGGUGAAAUUUGUAGAUAUUCGGAAGAACACCAGUGGCGAAGGCGGCUUACUGGCUCAUUCUAGACGCUGAGGUGCGAAAGCGUGGGGAGCAAACAGGAUUAGAUACCCCAGUAGUCCCUGUCUCUUAUAC